GAGCAAGUAUUGGUGCUCGAAUCAGAUGAUUCUUCAACGUAUGGAAUGCUGCAUCACAUUCGGGAGUCCAGUUGAAGGUGUGUUGUUUCUUCAGUAAGUUGGUCAUCGGCUUGCUGAUCCUUACAUAGUCUUGGAUGAAGCAUCUAUGAUAUCCCAUUUUUCCCAAAAAUCUUCUGACACUUGAGACAUCCACAGGUGGUUUCAUGUUGAGGAUGAUCUCUGUCUUGGCUUUGUCAAUUAGUAUCCCUUGCUUGCAGAUUAUAUGUCUGAAUAGAACUCUGGAUCUGACGAAGAAGGAACAUUUCUCCUUGUUUGAAGCACUUUUGUAGGCAUUCCAAGUGCCUUGCUUGGUUGUUGAAAACACUGAAAUCGUCCAUAAAAAUGCGCAUGAA
rnacentral:lncRNA from 1 species